CCUACGGGGGGCAGCAGUGGGGAAUAUUGGACAAUGGGCGAAAGCCUGAUCCAGCCAUGCCGCGUGUGUGAAGAAGGCCUUCGGGUUGUAAAGCACUUUCAGUGGGGAAGAAAGCCUUGGGGCUAAUACCCUCGAGGAAGGACAUCACCCACAGAAGAAGCACCGGCUAACUCCGUGCCAGCAGCCGCGGUAAUGCGGAGGGUGCGAGCGUUAAUCGGAAUUACUGGGCGUAAAGCGCGCGUAGGCGGUCUGAUAAGCCGGUUGUGAAAGCCCCGGGCUCAACCUGGGAACGGCAUCCGGAACUGUCAGGCUAGAGUGCAGGAGAGGAAGGUAGAAUUCCCGGUGUAGCGGUGAAAUGCGUAGAGAUCGGGAGGAAUACCAGUGGCGAAGGCGGCCUUCUGGACUGACACUGACGCUGAGGUGCGAAAGCGUGGGUAGCAAACAGGAUUAGAUACCCGAGUAGUC
rnacentral:rRNA from 1 species